rnacentral:rRNA from 1 species
GACGUAGGGCGCGAGCGUUGUCCGGAUUUAUUGGGCGUAAAGAGCUCGUAGGCGGCUCAUUGCGUCAACCGUGAAAACCAGCAGCUCAACUGUUGGCUUGCGGUUGAUACGGGUGGGCUGGAGUUCGGUAGGGGAGACUGGAAUUCCUGGUGUAGCGGUGAAAUGCGCAGAUAUCAGGAGGAACACCGGUGGCGAAGGCGGGUCUCUGGGCAACAACUGACGCUGAGGAGCGAAAGCGUGGGAGCGAACAGG